CGUGAACGACAGGGGAGCGUCGGACGCCGGCCGGGUGCGGCCGCCAGGACGCUGAGAGUGCGGACCACCGCAGACCCUCGAACCUGAUCCGGUUGGUACCGGCGUAGGGAGUCGGGCUUUCUCUCCU
rnacentral:ncRNA from 2 species